GAGUUUGAUCAUGGCUCACAUUGAACGCUGGCGGUAGGCUUAACACAUGCAAGUCGUGCGAGAAAGUAUCUUCCGAUAUGAGUAGAGCGGCGGACGGGUGAGUAACGCGUAGGAAUCUACCUAGUAAAAGGGGAUAGCCCGGGGAAACCCGGAUUAAUACCGUAUACCUCCUUCGGGAGAAAGAAGGCCUCUCUUUGAAGCUUUCGCUACUAGAUGAGCCUGCGUAAGAUUAGCUUGUUGGUGAGGUAAAGGCUCACCAAGGCGACCAUCUUUAGCUGGUCUGAGAGGACUAUCAGCCACGUUGGGACUGAGACACGGCCCACACUCCUACGGGAGGCAGCAGUGGGGAAUAUUGGACAAUGGGCGCAAGCCUGAUCCAGCCAUACCGCGUGUGUGAAGAAGGCCUUCUGGUUGUAAAGCACUUUAAGCAGGGAGAAAAAGUUAUAAGUUAAUACCUUAUAACCCUGAUGUUACCUGCAGAAUAAGCACCGGCUAAUUCCAUGCCAGCAGCCGCGGUAAUACAGAAGGUGCAAGCGUUAAUCGGAAUUACUGGGCGUAAAGCGCGCGUACGUGGUUUGUUAAGCUGGAUGUGAAAGCCCUGGGCUCAACCUAGGAACUGCAUCCAAGACUAACUCUCUAGAGUACGAUUGAGGGAGGUAGAAUUCAUAUGUGUAGCGAUGUAAUGCGUAGAUAUUAUGACGAUGACCAGUGACGAUGGCGGCUUCUGGUAUCUGUACUGACAUUGAGGUGUGAGAGUCUGUGUAGCUAACAGGAUUAGAUAUCGUGGUAGUUCAUGCUGUAAACGAUGACACAUAGCUGUUGGGAGAUUAUGUCUCUCAGUGGCGCAGUUAACGUUUAAAGUGGUCGGCUUGGGGAGUGUGGCUGCAAGGAUAAAAGUGAAAUGAAUUGACGGGGACCAGCACAAGCGGUGGAGCAUGUGGUUUAGUAAGUUGGAACGAGAAAAGCCUUACCUGCUCUUGACAUACUGGGAGGAUGUAGUAAUGAGAGUGUGCUUUUUGGAAGCAAGAUCACAGGUGUAGCAUGGCAGUCGUCAGCUUGUGUCGUGAGAUGUUCCGUUAAGUCGGAUAGCGAGCGCAACCCUUACCCUUAUUAGCGAGGGAUUCGGUCGGGAACUAUAAGGGGACUUCCGGUGAUAAACCGGAGGAAGGUGAUGAGGACGUCAAGUCAUCAUGGACGUUACGAGUAGGGCUACACACGUGCUACAAUGGGAGAUACAGACGGACGCUAAGCCUCGAGGUGGUGCUAAUCUUAAAAAGUCUUUUGUAGUCGGGAUAGGAGUAUGCAACUGGAUUCCAUGAAGUGGGAAUGGUUAGUAAUCGAGGAUCAGCAUGCCGCGGUGAAUACGUUUUCGGGUGUUGUACACACCGCCUGUCACACCAUGGAAGUGGAUUGCACCAGAAGUAGAUAGUCUAACCUUAGGGAGGGCGUUUACCACGGUGUGCUUCAUGAGUGGGGUGAAGUCG
rnacentral:rRNA from 1 species